AAAAUGUUCAGGAGCCAUUUCUAAAUGCAACAACAAUGGCUGGAAAUGCUGGAAAUGAUUUGAGUUCAAACCCAUUUGCUGCUCUCUUGGCAAACCAAGGGGGCGCACAAGCGAGGAAUGAGUCCAAUAAUUCUUCAACUACAGGAUCAGAAACAACAGGAACUGCUGCUCCGAAUACAAAUCCACUUCCUAAUCCGUGGGGAGGAACUCAGACCACAACUACACAGCCUACUCCAGCAGGUGAUGCAAGGGCUCCUGGUAUUGGGGCUUUAGGAGGGGCUGGUCGUACAAAUGUGGAUCGAUUUGCUGGUGCUGUGCCAGACCCGGCUCAGCUGAACCAGUUUCUGCAAAACCCAGCUAUUUCACAGAUGAUGCAGAGCCUACUCUCCAACCCUCAGUAUAUGAAUCAAAUCCUCAAUCUCAACCCACAGCUACGAAGUAUGGUUGAUAUGAAUCCUCAAUUAAGAGAGAUGAUGCAAAAUCCAGAGUUUGUUCGCCAAUUAACUAAUCCUGAGAUGAUGCAGCAAAUGCUAUCGAUCCAGCAGACCCUCCUCUCUACCUUAAAUCGACAGCCAUCAUCUCAAGAUUCUGCUCAAACAGGUGCUGCUGCAGGUGUUCCUAGCACUGCUGGAUUGGAGAUGUUAAUGAACCUCUUUGGUGGGCUCGGUGCUGGUGGGUUGGCUGUUCCGAGCAAUCCCAACGUGCCCCCAGAAGAACUAUACGCAACUCAACUCUCGCAGCUCCAAGAGAUGGGUUUCUUUGACACCCAAGAGAACAUCAGAGCUCUACGUGCUACUUCCGGGAACGUUCAUGCUGCUGUCGAGCGACUGCUGGGAAAUCUCGAGCAGUAAAUUGAUAAUACCUACCUUCUUUUCAAAAUUAAAUUGGGA
rnacentral:misc_RNA from 1 species